GGGGGCGUAGCUCAGGUUAUAGAGCGCUCGAUUAGCAUGCGAGAGAUUCGGGGAUCAAUACACGACGCCUCCA